rnacentral:rRNA from 1 species
GAAUAUUGCACAAUGGGCGAAAGCCUGACGCAGCAACGCCGCGUGGAGGAUGAAGGCCUUUGGGUUGUAAACUCCUGUCGGCUGGGAAGAAAUCGGCGGGCGCUAAUACCGUUCGCCGUUGACUGUACCAGCCAAGGAAGCCCCGGCUAACUCUGUGCCAGCAGCCGCGGUAAUACAGAGGGGGCCAGCGUUAUUCGGAAUUAUUGGGCGUAAAGGGCGCGUAGGCGGCCCGGCGUGUCUUCCGUGAAAUCCCUCGGCUCAACUGAGGACGUGCGGAAGAAACUGCGGGGCUGGAGUCCGGGAGAGGGGAGUGGAAUUCCCAGUGUAGCGGUGAAAUGCGUAGAUAUUGGGAGGAACACCGGUGGCGAAGGCGGCUCCCUGGACCGGAACUGACGCUGAGGCGCGAAAGCGUGGGGAGCAAACGGG